UACGAAGGGGACUAGCGUUGUUCGGAAUCACUGGGCGUAAAGCGCACGUAGGCGGAUGUGUCAGUCAGGGGUGAAAUCCUGGAGCUCAACUCCAGAACUGCCUUUGAUACUGAGGAGCUUGAGUCCGGGAGAGGUGAGUGGAACUCCGAGUGUAGAGGUGAAAUUCGUAGAUAUUCGGAAGAACACCAGUGGCGAAGGCGGCUCACUGGCCCGGUACUGACGCUGAGGUGCGAAAGCGUGGGGAGCAAACAGG
rnacentral:rRNA from 1 species